rnacentral:lncRNA from 1 species
GCGUACAGUCCUGAUUUGGUAUAACCGGUCGCGGUGGAUUUACGGGCCAUUUUCUUCAGGUCGCGAUUGAGGUCGUUGGCGUAGCGCAACCGUUCUUCCAAAUUGCCAUUGUGCUCCACAAUUUCCUUCUGGGCAAUCCAUCCCUCUAAGGGUUCAUAUGGGUGCGAGUAUAGAGUUUCUGUCGCAUCCGGCUGCACUGUUCUGGUGGCCACAGCCUGUGCCGCUUCAUCCGCUUUCUGAUUUCCUACGCAUGUGUCUGUCUGGUGCGACCGUACGUGAUAAAAUGAUGUCUUGUGUCCAGCUAGGGCACGUUCCGCAAGUUGGUCGACUAUGGUCCCAAACAUCUCG